rnacentral:rRNA from 1 species
UACGAAGGUCCCAAGCGUUGUUCGGAAUCACUGGGCGUAAAGGGAGCGUAGGCUGUGAGGUAAGUCGGGUGUGAAAUCCCGGGGCUCAACCCCGGAACUGCACUCGAUACUGCUUUACUAGAGGACUGGAGAGGAGAUUGGAAUUCUCGGUGUAGCAGUGAAAUGCGUAGAUAUCGAGAGGAACACCUGUGGCGAAAGCGGCGAUCUGGGAAGAUACUGACGCUGAGGUGCGAAAGCGUGGGGAGCAAACAGG